UAUCUCUUUUACACCGUGAAAAUGUCUGUGAAAAUCAGGCCCCUCUG
rnacentral:tRNA from 1 species